UACGGGGGGAGCAAGCGUUGUUCGGAAUUACUGGGCGUAAAGGGUGCGUAGGCGGUUGCUUAAGUCUGUUGUGAAAUCCCCGGGCUCAACCUGGGAAUGGCAAUGGAUACUGGGCAGCUAGAGUGUGUCAGAGGAUGGUGGAAUUCCCGGUGUAGCGGUGAAAUGCGUAGAGAUCGGGAGGAACAUCAGUGGCGAAGGCGGCCAUCUGGGACAACACUGACGCUGAAGCACGAAAGCGUGGGGAGCAAACAGG
rnacentral:rRNA from 1 species